GAUGAACGCUGGCGGCGUGCUUAACACAUGCAAGUCGAACGGUGAAGCCAAGCUUGCUUGGUGGAUCAGUGGCGAACGGGUGAGUAACACGUGAGCAACCUGCCCUGGACUCUGGGAUAAGCGCUGGAAACGGUGUCUAAUACUGGAUCUGAGCUUCUACCGCAUGGUGGGGGUUGGAAAGNNUUUUCGGUCUGGGAUGGGCUCGCGGCCUAUCAGCUUGUUGGUGAGGUAAUGGCUCACCAAGGCGUCGACGGGUAGCCGGCCUGAGAGGGUGACCGGCCACACUGGGACUGAGACACGGCCCAGACUCCUACGGGAGGCAGCAGUGGGGAAUAUUGCACAAUGGGCGGAAGCCUGAUGCAGCAACGCCGCGUGAGGGAUGACGGCCUUCGGGUUUGUAAACCUCUUUUUAGCAAGGAAGAAGCGAAAGUGACGGUACUUUGCAGAAAAAGCGCCGGCUAACUACGUGCCAGCAGCCGCGGUAAUACGUAGGGCGCAAGCGUUAUCCGGAAUUAUUGGGCGUAAAGAGCUCGUAGGCGGUUUGUCGCGUCUGCUGUGAAAUCCCGAGGCUCAACCUCGGGCCUGCAGUGGGUACGGGCAGACUAGAGUGCGGUAGGGGAGAUUGGAAUUCCUGGUGUAGCGGUGGAAUGCGCAGAUAUCAGGAGGAACACCGAUGGCGAAGGCAGAUCUNUGGGCCGUAACUGACGCUGAGGAGCGAAAGGGUGGGGAGCAAACAGGCUUAGAUACCCUGGUAGUCCACCCCGUAAACGUUGGGAACUAGUUGUGGGGUCCUUUCCACGGAUUCCGUGACGCAGCUAACGCAUUAAGUUCCCCGCCUGGGGAGUACGGCCGCAAGGCUAAAACUCAAAGGAAUUGACGGGGACCCGCACAAGCGGCGGAGCAUGCGGAUUAAUUCGAUGCAACGCGAAGAACCUUACCAAGGCUUGACAUACACGAGAACACUCUAGAAGUAGGGGACUCUUUGGACACUCGUGAACAGGUGGUGCAUGGUUGUCGUCAGCUCGUGUCGGAGAUUGGGUUA
rnacentral:rRNA from 1 species